rnacentral:rRNA from 1 species
GGACUACUCGGGUAUCUAAUCCCGUUCGCUCCCCACGCUUUCGCGCCUCAGCGUCAGGGUUAGGCCAGAGAGUCGCCUUCGCCACUGGUGUUCCUCCCAAUAUCUACGCAUUUCACCGCUACACUGGGAAUUCCACUCCCCUCUCCUGCCCUCAAGUCACCCAGUUUCAGAGGCCGGCUCUGAGUUGAGCCCAGAGUUUUCACCUCUGACUUGGAUAACCGCCUACGCGCCCUUUACGCCCAGUAAUUCCGGACAACGCUCGCCCCCUACGUCUUACCGCGGCGGCUGGCAC